GAUGAACGCUGGCGGCGUGCCUAAUACAUGCAAGUCGAGCGAACAGACGAGGAGCUUGCUCCUCUGACGUUAGCGGCGGACGGGUGAGUAACACGUGGAUAACCUACCUAUAAGACUGGGAUAACUUCGGGAAACCGGAGCUAAUACCGGAUAAUAUAUUGAACCGCAUGGUUCAAUAGUGAAAGACGGUUUUGCUGUCACUUAUAGAUGGAUCCGCGCCGCAUUAGCUAGUUGGUAAGGUAACGGCUUACCAAGGCAACGAUGCGUAGCCGACCUGAGAGGGGGGUGGGCCACCCUGGAACGGAGACCGGGUCCGAAACCCUAGGGGGGGAAACGGUGGGGAAUUUUCCGAAAGGGGGGAAAGCCGGAGGGGGAAACGCGGGGUGGGGGAUGAAGGUUUCGGGUCUGUAAAACCUUGUUUUUGGGGAAAAAAAAAUGUGAAAGUAAUUUUGCCGGUUUUGACGGUACCAAAGCAGAAAGCCACGGCUAACUACGG
rnacentral:rRNA from 1 species